rnacentral:rRNA from 1 species
GUGGGGAAUCUUGCGCAAUGGGCGAAAGCCUGACGCAGCCAUGCCGCGUGGAUGAUGAAGGUCUUAGGAUUGUAAAAUCCUUUCACCGGUGAAGAUAAUGACUGUAGCCGGAGAAGAAGCUCCGGCUAACUUCGUGCCAGCAGCCGCGGUAAUACGAAGGGGGCUAGCGUUGCUCGGAAUUACUGGGCGUAAAGGGCGCGUAGGCGGACAGCUUAGUCAGAGGUGAAAGCCCAGGGCUCAACCUUGGAAUUGCCUUUGAUACUGGCUGUCUUGAGUUUGGGAGAGGUGAGUGGAACUCCGAGUGUAGAGGUGAAAUUCGUAGAUAUUCGGAAGAACACCAGUGGCGAAGGCGACUCACUGGCCCAAUACUGACGCUGAGGCGCGAAAGCGUGGGGAGCAAACAGGAUUAGAUACCCCUGUAGUCC